rnacentral:rRNA from 1 species
CACGCCCUAAACGAUGGAUACUAGGCGUAAGAGGUAUCGAUCCCUCUUGUGCCGCAGCUAACGCACUAAGUAUCCCGCCUGGGGAGUACGGCCGCAAGGUUGAAACUCAAAUGAAUUGACGGGACCCCGCACAAGCGGUGGAGCAUGUGGAUUAAUUCGAUACUAACCGAAGAACCUUACCCAGGUUUGACAUCAAUGGAAAACCCAAGAGAUUGGGUCCUCUCCCACAAGGAGACCAGAAGACAGAUGU